rnacentral:misc_RNA from 1 species
AAGUCGUAACAAGGUUUCCGUAGGUGAACCUGCGGAAGGAUCAUUAAUAAGGAGCUGCGGUGCUUUACUGCUUGCUUUUAUUACUAUGUGUGAACUGUUGACCUGACAGCUGUGCGUUUGGCAGUGCUGUGGAGGGGUGUUGGCUGUGUGCUGGAGUGUUUGUCUGUUUCAUUGAGGCAGGUGUGCAUGACAGUGCAGAGUGUUGCACUCUUCCUUCAGUUACCAACCGGCGCACACACCCUUACUUUAUACGUAUGUUACCCUGUACGUCUCUACAAAAAACCACUAGAAAGAGGUUAGCAGCAACCUACGAGUUGAACUUGCAAAACUUUUAGCAAUGGAUCUCUAGGCUCUU